UACGUUAGCGGCGGACGGGUAGUAACACGUGGGUAACCUACCUAUAAGACUGGGACAACUUCGGGAAACCGGAGCUAAUACCGGAUAAGAUAUCGAACCGCAUGGUUCGAUAGUGAAAGAUGGUUUUGCUAUCACUUAUAGAUGGACCCGCGCCGUAUUAGCUAGUUGGUGAGGUAACGGCUCACCAAGGCAACGAUACGUAGCCGACCUGAGAGGGUGAUCGGCCACACUGGAACUGAGACACGGUCCAGACUCCUACGGGAGGCAGCAGGG
rnacentral:rRNA from 1 species